UUCGGGAGAAUCUCUGUUAAGGAAUUAGGCAAAUUAGAUCCGUAACUUCGGGAAAAGGAUCGCCCCAUUAGCGUGACGACGACAAGCUUGUCUGAGCGUGAAGGGGCCGCAGAGAAAUGGCUCUAGCGACUGGUUACCAGAACCACAGGUCUGUGCUAAGUCGAAAGACGACGUAUACGGGCUGACGCCUGCCCAGUGCCGGAAGGUUAAGGGGAGCGGUGCAAGCUGCGAACUGAAGCCCCGGUGAACGGCGGCCGUAACUAUAACGGUCCUAAGGUAGCGAAAUUCCUUGUCGGGUAAGUUCCGACCCGCACGAAUGGCGUAACGACUGGAGCUCUGUCUCAACAGAGAACCCGGUGAAACUGAAUUAGGAGUGAAGAUGCUUCUUACCCGCAGCUGGACAAAAAGACCCCGUGGAGCUUUACUGUAGCUUGACAUUGGGUUAGAACCUAGGUUGUGUAGGAUAGGUGGGAGACUGUGAAGCUGGGCCGCCAGGCUCGGUGGAGUCGUCGGUGAAAUACCACUCUGCUUAAGUUUUGGCUCUAACCUUUGCCGUAAUCCGGUGAGGAAACAGUGUCAGGUGGGCAGUUUGACUGGGGCGGUCGCCUCCUAAAGAGUAACGGAGGCGCGCAAAGGUUCCCUCAGGCUGAAUGGAAACCAGUCGUAGAGUGCAAUCGCAUAAGGGAGCUUGACUGCGAGACGGACAGGUCGAGCAGAGACGAAAGUCGGCGUUAGUGAUCCUAUGGCACCGAGUGGAAGGGCCAUGGCUCAACGGAUAAAAGCUACCCCGGGGAUAACAGGCUAGUCUUCCCCAAGAGUUCACAUCGACGGGAAGGUUCGGCACCUCGGUGUCGGCUCGUCACAUCCUGGGGCUGGAGUAGGUCCCAAGGGUUGGGCUGUUCGCCCAUUAAAGUGGUACGCGAGCUGGGUUCAGACCGUCGUGAGACAGGUCGGUCUCUAUCCGCUGUGGGCGUAAGGGAAUUGAGGAGAGCUGCCCCUAGUACGAGAGGACCGGGGUGGACGGAUCUCUGGUGUGCCAGUUGUGCUGCCAAGUGCAUGGCUGGGUAGCUAAGUCCGGAAUGGAUAACCGCUGAAAGCAUCUAAGUGGGAAGCCAGCUCCAAGAUAAGUUCCCUCACAGGGUUAACCUGGUAAGUGCGCAGGAAGACCACCUGCUUGAUAGGCGGCAAGUGUACAGGCUGAGAGGCCUUUAGCUAAGCCGUACUAAUGCACGAGGGCUUAAAAC
rnacentral:rRNA from 1 species